rnacentral:vault_RNA from 1 species
UGGUCUACUUUAGCUCAGCGGUUACUUCUCACCCUUACACCCCAUCUUUUUGGAGGUUCGAACCCCUCGAGGGGCUUUUCGAUCUUUCG